AAGCAGGAUCGGUCUCACCAUACACUGAAAACUGUAGAAUAUGCAAGGCACAUGGAACUUAUUUUCUUACGUAUAAAAGCGUGUAUAUGCUCCUUAUACAUCUGUCCUAAUGCUUUCCAACAGUCCUCACUCUAAGCCUCACCAAGACCCAGAUGAGGAAACAAAGGCACAGAGGGAUAAACUCAGAGCAGGAAGACAGCAAGGAAUAGCAGUGAAAAGCAUGGUGCUUAAUCCAACCCCUUACUCACUGCUGAGACCUGGAAAUGUGUUCAUCAGCUACAAAACAGGAGAGAUGAUAACUCAUUAUGUAUAUGUGAUGAUAAACAGAGACAAUAUAUUGAAGAGCUUAUAUGAGUGGCAGACAUGGGACAUGCUUCCCUGUGGCUGGCCAGCCUGUCAUCUUCUCCACCAUGUGUCCAGAGAAAAGCUUUGCAAAUCAACCUCUCGAUGAAUGAUGAUGGCACCAGUGAAAUCAGGGGAGGCAGAAAAUCAUGUUAGUUUGGUUUAUAAUGCAAGAAGUUACAGAACACAGAGUGCUCAAAACUAAGAAUGUGCUAGUUGUAUAACAGGGUCCUUCUUGGGACUCAGCCAGGAUUCAAACUAUAAAGGAAAAUCGGGCGAGCAGGUGGGAUAGUCAAGUGAUUCUAUUUGCAUGAAUAAAUUUGUGAGAUGAUACCUUCUUGUCCAGGAACAUUGAGCAGUGCUCGUGCUGGGUGGAUUGUGAUGUGGAAACCCUGGGAGAUGUCAUGUCUGACAUCAACUUUCUCCCAGGUGACAGCUGCACCCUCUAAAGGCUUCUCAAGUGACAGAGCUCAAUGAAUAUAGAAGGGAAAAGUAUGAGGAUGACCUAUGAGCACAGGGUGGACAGUCUCUGCGGUGGGCAGGCAUUAGCAAAGGAGAGACCUUCUGUAUUAUGCAGAGUGGAAUUUUCCAGAGGCUACAUGAUGAGUGAUGUCACGACAGAUUGAGUACAGAGCCAACUAUGAGAAUCCAGCUGCCUUCUAUUAAGGUACCCUUUCUGUGGGUACCUUCAAGUUCCAGCACCAAAUAUGAAGGCGACUGCCAUCACCAGCUCCCACCCCUACAUAAGGUCAAAUCCCUGGAUGGCAUAUAACACACUAGAGCAAUUAAGAGGAUCUAACUAAAGGUGGGGAAGGAAAAAUGUGUGUACAGAGACAGGAAGUCAUGGACACAGUUAUAUUGAAAGAUACAAUGACCUCCUC
rnacentral:lncRNA from 1 species